GACGAACGCUGGCGGCGUGCUUAACACAUGCAAGUCGAACGGAAAGGCCCCCAUCUUGGUGGGGGUGCUCGAGUGGCGAACGGGUGAGUAACACGUGGGUGAUCUGCCCUGUACUUCGGGAUAAGCUUGGGAAACUGGGUCUAAUACCGGAUAGGACCAUGGUUUAGUGUCUCAUGGUGGAAAGAUUAUUGUUUUGGUGCAGGAUGAGCUCGCGGCCUAUCAGCUUGUUGGUGGGGUAAUGGCCUACCAAGGCGUCGACGGGUAGCCGGCCUGAGAGGGUGGACGGCCACAUUGGGACUGGGAUACGGCCCAGACUCCUACGGGAGGCAGCAGUGGGGAAUAUUGCACAAUGGGCGCAAGCCUGAUGCAGCGACGCCGCGUGGGGGAUGACGGCCUUCGGGUGGUAAACUCCUUUCGUUAGGGACGAAGCCGCACUUUUUUUGGGUGUGGUGACGGUACCUUUGUUAAGAAGCACCGGCUAACUACGUG
rnacentral:rRNA from 1 species